AUCAUCCGGUUGCCGUGAAUCUUGGUGGCCGUGCCGCCUAUUUUUUCUUCAUUUAUUUCCAUCUGCAGCUUCACCAUUCCUCGCGGGAAGAACAGUCCGGCCUCUAAGGCCAGGUGGAAGCUUAGAAGAAAACUAUUCCGCCGAGCCCUUCUCCAACGUCAACACAUAAUUGACAGAGAAGUCGGUUUUCAUGAACGAGCUGAAGAGACCACUCGCAGGAUUGUGGAACAAAGAAGGCAACAAGCUGCCAAAAUGAAUCCUGAAAUUAAUCCUCGUCCAGCUCAAGAUCGUCAGAGUAGAUCCAGAAUUCCGGUUG